rnacentral:misc_RNA from 1 species
UCCAUACAGCUGGUCCAAGGUUUCAAAUAUUAUUUAUUUGGACUCUCCAUGUGGGGUUGGCCUCUCUUACUCUAUAAAUACUACCAAAUACAUAACAGGUGACCAGCAAACUGCAGUUGAUACCCAUACUUUCCUCCUGAAGGUAACCUAUAAAUUAAGUUCAGCAAUCCCUAAAAAAAAAAUAAAAUAAAAUGAACCAAAAACCGCAUUAAAAUAUAUAAAAUAUUGCUUUAAAUAAGUAACAAUAACACACAUAUUAUUAUUAUUUUUUUUCAAUAUAGUGGCUCGAACUAUAUCCAGAAUUUGUCACCAAUCCAUUUUAUAUUGCUGGAGAAUCUUAUGCUGGAAUUUACGUGCCUACUCUUGCAUCCGAAGUGGUGAAAGGUAUACUUAAUUAUAGAUUUCUGUUUAAUUAAAACUAUAAUGAAAUUAAUAUAAUAAUGCAAAAUUUGUGUUAAAUAUAUAGUAAUUACCUAUUUCUUGCAGGAAUAAAAGCUGGUAAAAAACCCAUCAUCAAUUUCAAGGGUUACUUGGUGGGAAAUGGAGCAUCACGCAGCAAAUUUGAUGGGAUCAAUGCUCUUCUCUCUUUUACACAUGGGAUGGGUCUUAUCUCGGAUGAUAUUUUUGAGGAAAUUCAAAGUACUUGCAAGGGAAAUUAUUACAAGCCUACUGCUAAUUGCGACACAAGCCUUGGCAAACUAGAUAGAGUAAGAUAGUUAAUGAUUACUUAGCUACAAUAUAUUAAGACUCGAACUCAACAUCUAAUAUUGCAAUGCAAACAAUCAGGAAUUGAAAUUGGUGUUUAUUCACAACAACAUCUAACUACUAAAUAUAUAUUAUGAUUAUUUUUCAAUGGUAAUUAGUCUCUUUCGGGCUUGAACAUUUAUGAUAUCCUUGAGCCAUGCUACCAUGACCCUGAAUCGCAACAAAAAGCUCAAGGAAACUCAACUUUGCCUGUUAGCUUCCAGCAACUAGGGGCUACAGACAGGCCUCUCAAGGUAAGAAAGAGAAUGUUCGGCCGAGCUUGGCCUCUUUGGGCGCUAGAAAGAGAAGGUCACCUUCCACUGUGGCCUAAACUAGCAGAACAAGGCAGUGUUCCAUGUUUUGUAAGUAAUUAUCCAUGCAAUGUUACGUAAUGCAUUUUCGCCUUUUGAUACUUUUGAAGUGAUUAUAUUUACGAGUUUGGUUUGCUUCAGAGUGAUGAAGUUGCAACUGCAUGGCUUAACGAUGAAUCAGUUAGAAAAGCAAUUCAUGCUCAGCCAGUAAAUGACUUCAAUUUUACUUGUAUUGUUUCAAAAUUUUCUUUACUUGGUUAUAUUUUACGAUUAACAUGUGCUCAUCAAUAAUAGAAAUCAAUUGCUGGUACUUGGGAGCUUUGCACUGAUAGAAUAGAUUAUGAAUCCUAUGUUGGAAGUAUGAUCCCUUACCACAAGAACUUAACCACCCAAGAAUAUAGAGCACUUAUAUACAGUGGAGACCAUGAUAUGUGCGUGCCAUUCACUGGGACUCAAGCAUGGACUAGAUCACUUGGAUAUAAGAUUAUUGAUGAAUGGAGACCUUGGAUUUCCAAUGACCAAGUUGCUGGGUACUUGCAAGGAUAUGACAACAACCUCACCUUUCUGACCAUCAAGGGCGCAGGGCAUACAGUGCCUGAGUACAAGCCUCGGGAGUCAUUGGAUUUCUAUAGCCGUUGGUUAGAUGGGAAGCCAAUAUAAAUCUAUUGGGAAAAAAAUGCCUACGUAAUUUUUUAAUCAAUAGCAUUUUGAUUUUUCAUCUUCUUCUGUUGUACAAUUAAAGAAAUCAAGUUCCAUUUAUUUACACAAGCAAAAAAAUUAAAAGGAACUGUUCUAUAAAUUAAAAUAUGCAUUUACAUUUUGGCCCUAUAUAUAUAUAUACCCAAUUGAAAAGUUUGAUAAGCCAACACCCACCAUCAUAGACUAGUAGCUGAGUUCAACACAUAAACACAAAAGAAAAUAAUACAGUAAAAUAAAAAAUUCCCCUUCCAUGCAAUUGCUGAGAAAAGAAGGCAUGGAAUUGCUUGGGUACCGACUGCAAGAGACAUUGAUGACUGCAAAAAAUUAUUCUAAGCAUUUGUAGGAAAAUAAAAUAAAUAAAUGAUUAGUCAUAUCAAUUUAUAUGGCACAAAAGUUGACAAAACUUGAUAUAUUUUUUGAAUGGCCAUUCAAACAGGGGAAUCAAUUAAUCUUCAGUUGUUCAUCUAUCAUUUCACUUGAAAUCAAAUCAGAUUAGAUGUGGAAAAUAGGAUGAAGCUGAGAAUGCAAAGAUUGUACUUUUUUUUUUAUGAAAUUAGAAGGUCCGAGUUCAUUCCACCAAGAAAUUCCGAGUUUGUGAUUAGUCAUAUCAAUUAAUUGUUUGGUCAUUUUGUGGCCGAAAGUUUCUUUUGGAGUGAGAGAAAUAAUGAAAUAAAAUCAUUAGUGCUUCCCAACUGGACGAUGAACACUCGUCAAGCCAAAAGUGAAUGGCAGAAUAACAAAAUUUCAGAAACACAAAAUUAUGGGUAAAUUAUUUUUUUUUUUCCUGUGUUAUGUCAUAAUUAACACUUGGGUCCCUAUAUUUUAGAAAAUAAAUGAAAGCAUCUCUAAGUUUUGAUUCCGUCAUAUGAAAAUCUAUUCGUCCAUUUUUCUCAAUUUUCGUUGUUAAUGAAGAGUGAAAAUAUCUUAAUACCACUCAAGAUAAAUUAUUAUUUCAUCUCCAAGUUUUAUCAUUAACACUUUAGUCUCUUGUUGACCGCCUUUUACUAACUUGAACAACGGCUAAAUUGACAAAAAUGGAGGAAGAGAUGAAAGUGUAUGACCGAACCAAAACUUAGAGAUGUUUUUAUCUAUUUUCCAAAUAUAAGAACCAAGUGUUAAUUAUGAUAUAACACAUGGAAGAAAAAGUAAUUUACCCUUGGUUUAUUACUUUAUUUCAUCAUUGGACUUGGCAUAAUUAGAGAUCCGUUCACUCAAGGUUGAAGCAAUGAUAUGAAUGAUAUGAGUUAUUUUCUCGACAAUUGCACGUUGCUAGUUUCCUACAUAUCUCAAGUUCUUGAUGUCAUAAAGUAUAUAGGUUUACUAAGAGAAAUUAGCUCCCUUGUACACAAAUUUACAUCUACCGAUUGCAAGGAACAAUCUCAGUUUUUGAGAAUUCAAAGACAUUGUUGCCAUCACCAAAUUUUUUCACACUCGAUAUUAAACUAGCAAUAUACAAUUGUCCAGAAUAUAAUUCAUACCCCUUGUGUACAAAUUUAUAUCUUCUGAUUGCAUAGAAGAAUCUCAGGUUUUAAGAAUUUGAAGAUAUUGUCGCUGUCACCAAAUUUUCACAUCUCAUGACAUAUAAACUCUCUUAAGACACUUCUUCUUCCUUAAACUUUGGUAACACCCCCCCCAAAAAAAAACCCACCUUUUCAACCUUCAAUUUCUUAAUCUGUUCUUGUUCACUAUUUGUCAUUAAAAUCUUCGUGAAGGGCAACAAAGUGUGGCAACUCAACAAGGAUUUUACAAAGUUUAAAAUGCUGUCAAGAUCAGCUACAAAGGCGCCCACUAUGCAAAAUAUAAUGAGUUUUAAAUAAUUUAUAAGAACGAAGAAAGGAUCCUGUCAAAAGCUUGCUUCUUGUAUUCCCUCCAAAUAAAUCUAAAAACAGUGAGGAACAAAAUUUUGCCCCCUUCUUUUUACAAGAUAGUAAAUCCCCAAUUAAACAUGAUAGUACCCAGGAUAGUCCCACAACUAAAUAAGCUAAUUCCCACAUAUUACCAGUCAAUCAGAAUGCAAAAGCAGGUAAUGCAUGUGCUAUACAAUACUUUAACAGACAAAACAUAUUUGACCAAGGUUUGCCCUCCUUUUAGAGAUUCUCAAUAGUCAAAAUUCACUCACAAGUUUCCUCUAAAAAAGAGCUACUUUAGUUAAAGUAAAACAAUCAGUCUUCCAUAUAACUUUCCAAAGAAAAUUUUGCUUUAGCCAUCCAUGGGUUCCCUAAAAAUGACAUUAUAAAAAGAUUUCACAUCAGAACAAUCCCUAGAGACCUCUUUCUAAGGCUAAUUGAUCCAAUGAACAGUUAUUCUCUUUAUUUUUGGUGCUUAACCGUCUGACUAUUUGUUGUACUUAUCCAUGAAUUCCCUAAAUCGAUAUGUCAAAGGGCUCCUUUGGAAUAAAUUAUUUGGAAGAAAAGAAUUUAAAAGAAUUCUCAUAUAAUCAUGCAUGAAUUCUAUUUCUUUUAAAAUGAAUUAUUUUUUUAAAUUAAAAUAACUGAAUUCUUUCAUUUGAAAAUUGAAAAAAAAAAUAAUUAAAUUGAAUUCUUACAAAAUUAUGGUUUUCAAAUAGGAGAUGAUUCACAAAAAGAAAUCAAUUGAAUUGAGGGUAAAGAAAAUCCAAGUCACUACAAUGUAUUCUAUAUUUUCCAAGCUUUAAAUUACAGAAAACAU